rnacentral:rRNA from 1 species
GAUGAACGCUGGCUACAGGCUUAACACAUGCAAGUCGAGGGGAAACGACGGGGAAGCUUGCUUCCCCGGGCGUCGACCGGCGCACGGGUGAGUAACGCGUAUCCAACCUGCCUCUGACUGAGGGAUAACCCGUCGAAAGUCGGCCUAAUACCUCAUGGUAUCGUCUGCGGGCAUCCAACGACGAUUAAAGAUUUCAUCGGUCAGGGAUGGGGAUGCGUCUGAUUAGCUUGUUGGCGGGGUAACGGCCCACCAAGGCUACGAUCAGUAGGGGUUCUGAGAGGAAGGCCCCCCACAUUGGAACUGAGACACGGUCCAAACUCCUACGGGAGGCAGCAGUGAGGAAUAUUGAUCAAUGGGCGAGAGCCUGAACCAGCCAAGUAGCGUGCAGGAAGACGGCCCUAUGGGUUGUAAACUGCUUUUAUGCGGGGAUAAAGUGAGGGACGUGUCCCUCAUUGCAGGUACCGCAUGAAUAAGGACCGGCUAAUUCCGUG